rnacentral:rRNA from 1 species
ACGGGUGAGUAAUGCAUAGGAAUCUGCCUAGUAGUAUGGAAUAGCUAUUAGAAAUGAUAGGUAAUACUGUAUAAUCCCUGCGGGGGAAAGAUUUAUCGCUAUUAGAUGAGCCUAUGUUAGAUUAGCUAGUUGGUAAGGUAAUGGCUUACCAAGGCUAUGAUCUAUAGCUGGUCUGAGAGGACGAUCAGCCACACUGGAACUGAGAUACGGUCCAGACUCCUACGGGAGGCAGCAGUGGGGAAUAUUGGACAAUGGGCGCAAGCCUGAUCCAGCUAUGCCGCGUGAGUGAAAAAGGCCUC